GGCUAGGUGGCGGAGUGGUUAACGCGGUAGACUCGAAUUAAUUUGUUAUCUACUUCCUUCGGGAGCGUCUGUUCGAAUCAGGCCCUAGUCG
rnacentral:tRNA from 1 species